rnacentral:lncRNA from 10 species
GCCUUAGCAUCACUCUUAGUUACCAUUGUUUUGGGUUCCGGGUUUAGCACGUCAUUCCCAUUGUUUUGGGUUUCUGGUUUAGCACGUCACUCCCAUUGUUUUGGGUUCUGGUUUUAGCACGUCACUCCCAUUGUUUUGGGUUUCUGGUUUAGCAGGAUGCUCCCAUUGUUUUCAGUUUCUGAUUUAGCAGGAUGCUCCCAUUGUUUUGGGUUUCUGGUUUAGCAGGUCACUCCCAUUGUUUUGGGUUCCAGUUUUAGCACGUCACUCCCGUUGUUUUGGGUUCCAGUUUUAGCACGUCACUCCCAUUGUUUUGGGUUUCUGGUUUAGCAGGUCACUCCCAUUGUUUUCGGUUUCUGGGUUAGCAGGAUGCUCCCAUUGUUUUGGGUUUCUGGUUUAGCAGGUCACUCCCAUUGUUUUGGGUUCCGGUUUUAGCACAUCACUCCCAUUGUUUUCAUUUCCGGUUUUAGCACAUCACUCCCAUUGUUUUGGGUUCCAGUUUUAGCAAGUCACUCCCAUUGUUUUGGGUUCUGAUUUUAGUGCACGUCACCCCCAUUGUUUUGGGUUCCAGUUUUAGUAUAUCACUCUCAUUGUUUUGGGUUUCUGGUUUAGCACGUCACUCCCAUUGUUUUGGGUUUCUGGUUUCGCAGGUCACUCCCAUUGUUUUGGGUUCUGGUUUAAGCACAUCACUCCCAUUGUUUUCAUUUCCGCUUUUGGCACGUCACUCCCAUUGUUUUGGGUUCCAGUUUUAGCAAGUCACUCCCAUUGUUUUGGGUUUCUUGUUUAGCACGUCACUCCCAUUGUUUUGGGUUCUGGUUUUAGUGCACGUCACUCCCAUUGUUUUGGGUUCCCGUUUUAGUACAUCACUCCCAUUGUUUUGGGUUUCUGGUUUAGCAUGUCACCCCCAUUGUUUUGGGUUUCCGGUUUAGCAUGUCACUCAUAGGUUAUGGUGUCCUUACGGUUGCCCUUUUUUUUUAAUCUCUUGUCAUUCCAGUUGAAGAGAUACCAUUUGAUAUUUUAGAGAUGCCUGCAUGCAAACUCUUAAAACAUUUGAACGGAGAUUCACUCUUGUUGCCCAGGCUGGAGUGCAAUGGCACAAUUUCGGCUCUCCACAAUCUCUGCCUCCCAGAUUCAAGCUAUUCUCCUGCCUCUGUCUCCCGAGGAGCUGGGAUUACAGAUGAAAGCACCAUUAUCAAGUAAGAAGAGCACAAGUCAAACCACUGUAAGUUGAGGACUCUCUGUACUUUCUUAAAUGUUUGAUAGAAUUCACCUGAGAAAGCAUGUAGCCUGUAAUUAUAGAAAUCUUUUUAAAUUAAAAAAAUUCUUCAAUACAUAGAGAAGCUAUUACUUUUUCUAUUUCAUUUUGCAUUAGUUUUAAGAAUUAGUUUUACAAAUAAUUUCCCAUGUUAUUUUAAUUGUCAAAUGUAUUGGCCUAAAGUUUUCAUAAUUAUAUUGAUGUCUGUAGGUUCUGUAGUUACAUCCUCUAUUUAAUUCCCAUUAUCUACAUUAUGUAGCUUCUCUAAUUUUUUUCGAGAUAAAUCUUGCUAGCCAUUGUUUAUUAAAAAAAUUUUUUUCAAAGAACCAAUUUGUGGGUAUAUUAAUUAGCUCCACCUUUUGUUAUUUGCUAUGUUGUUGGUUUACAUUUUUAUCUUUAUCAUCUUCCUUCUUCUUAAUUUGGAUAUACUUUGCUUAUUUUUUAGCCUCUUAAAAAAGAACUUAAAGGUCAUUGAUUGAAGCCUUUUAUUUUCAAUAUAUUACAUCUAUAAAUGUACCUUUAAGAAACGAUUUAUCUGCAUCCCACAUUUUAUUAAGUUUUUAAAAAAUUUUAUUUCAGUUUAAACUAUUUUUUUUGUGUGUGAAACUUUUCUUGGCCAAUGGGUUUUUCUGAAGUAUUUUGUUUAAUGUUCAAAUGUUGGGGUGUUAUUGUACAUAUCCUACUGUUGUCCAUCUCUGGUUCAUGAUACAAUGCAUGUUCUCCAUUGCACUUAGAUAACAUGCCUCCAUGUCUCUGGAGAAUUCCUCAGUCUUUCUAAAAUGCUUUUGAUGAAUACUGGCCGUUAUUUUGUAGAAUGUCCUGCCUCAAUUUCAGUUAGUCUGAUGUUUUCUCACGGUUAGGACUAAAGUUAUACAUUUUGUCUAAGAAUACCAUAGAAUUGAUGUUUUGUCCUACUCAGUGCAUCAUAUAAGAAAUUACAUGAAGUUCAUUUAUCUUAUUAUUAGUAAUGUUAACUAUGAUCACUUGGCUAAGUUGACAUCUCCACUUUGAAGUUACUAUUCUAUAAUUAUCUUGUGGGAAGAUACUUUCAUAUUAUGCAAAUAUGUUCUUUCCCAACAUAUAUUCACCACUAAUCUUAGCAUUCCUCCAAGGUUCUUUCUUGCAACAAUUAUUACUAUGAUAUUUGCAAAGUGAUGAUUCUUAUAUUUUAUGUCUCCUACAUUUAAUGAAAUCUUACUGUAAUAAAAUACUACCCACUCUCAAUCUUUGGUUUAUUAUUUAUGUCAAUAUGGAUUUUUUUUUUGAGUUGGAGUCUUGUUUUGUCAUCCAGGCUGGUGUGCAAUGGUGCGAUUUCCGCUCACUGCACUUCCACCUUCCGGGAUUCAAGCCAUUCUCCUGCCUCAGCCUCCGGAGUAGCUGGGACUACAGUCAUGUGCCACCAUGCCCGGCUAAUUUUUGUAUUUUCAGUAGAGGCAGGGAUUCACCACAUUGGUCAGGCUGGUCUUGAACUCCUGACCUCAAGUGAUCUGCCCGCCUCUGCCUCCCAAAGGGCUGGGAAUACAGGCAUGAGCAACUGCACCUGGCCUGGAUUAAUUGAAAAUUUUCUCCUGUAGAUUGUAAUAUAUUAUUAUUGUUAUCUAUUUUAUUGCCCCAAUUUUCUCAAAUUUGGCUAUGGAAGUUUAUUCAAAGUGGAUCUGUUUCCCUUUCACAUUUUCCCCAUUUUGUGAGCAUUUCCUUACUUCCUAACAUGACAAAAUAUUUCAAACUAAUCUUGUAUUUUCCCUGCCCAAUCCUGAUAUCAAAUAUGUCCCCAAGGAGCCUUGGUUCCUUUAAUUGGAGAAUGGUGUUCUCAUUGUUACUGGGAUGAUGUUGUUUCUAGGCCCUUUUGUUAGAGGAGCUAGAAAAUAUAUGUAUGUAUACUCACACAUUUAUACACAUCUGUACUUAUUUAUACAAUUAUCCAUCUGUACGUAUACUAAAAACAAUGAUUUCAUGAAACUUUUGAUCCCAAUCCAACACUAGAUAAAGACUAUAUAGGCCCAUUUAUUUGCAAAUCAGCACAUAAACAUAGAAGAAUUAUUAACAAUAUAAGCUGUAGCUUAUGCUAAAUGUUGGUUGGAACAGACAAUAAGUUAUGGAGAACUUCAGAGGACACUAAGGUUGGAUGGGAUUUUGGAAGUUGUACAGGUCAAUGCCACUCCAUCUAUUGGCGAGUUUCACUAGGUUAAUACAUGAACAACAACAAAAAUAACCUAGAUCAGAAGUUAAAGGUCAUUUUAUUGACUAUCUGCCGUGUCUGUGCCAUUGCAGUGUACUAGGUGCACUUACGAGUCCUCUACUUACAAACUGCUUUUCACAAAAUAUGAAACUCCAGGCAAAGGUUCAGACAUAUGACGUUUGUUUUUAAAAUCUUUCUACAGCCUUGUAUCCUUUUUCCUUUCCUUCCUUUUACCCUUUUUAAAAUGUGUUAUGAGUUUUAUCUUAGACUAACAUCAUCUGUAAUGUUGCUAUACGCCAGUAUUCAGUUGCUGUGUUUGAUGAAUCAUAAAAUGGUGUAAAACUUCAAUUAAUGUACUUUUUAAAUAAAGUAUCUAUGAAUGCAUCCAGCAAAAUGUUUAUGAUUUGAGUAUUCACACAAUAUUACUUUUCUCUGGAUCUAACAAUAAUGUGAAAACGCAAAAUGAAUAUAAAAUAUUAGCUAAUAAUAGAUUUCAAAGUAUUGUACAAGUAUGAAAAAUAUAUGAUAUUGUUACUUUCAUAUAUGUAAAACAUUAAUAAUUUUUGUCAACAUAAACAUCAUCUUUAC